AUGAUAACUUAACGAAUCGCAUGGCCUUGCCCGGGAUGGUUCAUUCAAAUUUCUGCCCUAUCAACUUUCGAUGGUAGGAUAGUGGCCUACCAUGGUAUCAACGGGUAACGGGAAUUAGGGUUCUAUUCCGGGAAAGGGGAGCCCUGAGAAACGGUACCACAUCCAAGGAAGGCAGCAGGCGCGCAAAUUACCCAAUCCCGACACGGGGAGGUAGUGACAAUAAAUACUGAUACAGGGCUCUUUUGGGUCUUGUAAUUGGAAUGAGUACAAUUUAAAUCCCUUAACGAGGAACAAUUGGAGGGCAGUCUGGUGCCAGCAGCCGGGGUGAAUUCCAGCUCCAAUAGCGUAUAUUAAAGUUGUUGCAGUUAAAAAGCUCGUAGUUGAACCUUGGG
rnacentral:rRNA from 1 species